GCAUAACGCGAAGAACCUUACCAAGGCUUGACAUAUAGCAGAACGCUCUAGAAAUAGAGAACUCUUUGGACACUGUUAUACAGGUGGUGCAUGGUUGUCGUCAGCUCGUGUCGUGAGAUGUUCGGUUAAGUCCGGCAACGAGCGCAACCCUCGUCCUAUGUUGCCAGCGGUUCGGCCGGGAACUCAUGGGAUACUGCCGUGGUCAACACGGAGGAAGGUGGGGAUGACGUCAAAUCAUCAUGCCCCUUAUGUCUUGGGCUUCACGCAUGCUACAAUGGCCGGUAACAAAGGGCGGCGAUACCGUAAGGUGGAGCGAAUACCCAAAAGCCGGUCUCAGUUCGGAUUGGGGUCUGCAACUCGACCCCAUGAAGUCGGAGUCGCUAGUAAUCGCAGAUCAGCAACGCUGCGGUGAAUACGUUCCCGGGUCUUGUACACACCG
rnacentral:rRNA from 1 species